UCAGUCCCAUCCCAUCAGCCAUCCACGGAGAAGCUCUCUCCAGAGGUCAGGGGGGAAGCCGGGGAGGGCGGGGGAAGGAAAUGCCAAUCAACCCAUCAAAGCCCCGCCCCCCCGAGGCCCCAAGGCUCCGGAAGCUGAGUCUGCGCAUCCUUGACCCACCCGCAGGGAGCCGGGGGCUGGGCGAGCCGGGGAAGUGCAUUUGGUAAUGAUUCUAGAUUUCCUGUUUGGUUUCUGUCCAGGGGGCUUUGGGAUAUGCUAACUCGUAUUAUAUGUGUAGACAUGCACAUUUCAUUCCUCUGUUUUUCUUUUUAAUUCCUUUGCUACUUUUCCUCCUCUAUAGCUUAUUUACGUUGUUGUUGUUGUUAAUUGCUGUGGCACAGGGGUGGACCAAGUUUCCAGCCUCCUUUGGGAAAAUGUGUAGAAAAGCGGAGGCAAGAGAAAGGGAGAGGCCUGGAGGCUCUGCCUGGACUCCUGGGAUUUGGCCUGUUCGCCAGGGAGAUUCUCCCCGAGACGUGCAUCAUGUGGCCAGAAGGAAGACAGAACCACAAACCCAGGAAUCUGGAAACCUCAUAGCUGGUGUUGUGCAGAACCACUAUCAACUCCAGUGGGGAUGGCGGCAGGUUCAAGAGGCUAAAGACGAGACCCAGAGCCAGCAGGUGAGGCAUGGGCUGGGGGCUUACAUAUAGGGGAGAGAGUCCAGUGGUGGUGGACUGGG
rnacentral:lncRNA from 1 species